CAACGCCUGACGACGAGAACAUGACUGUCGUACACGAGACUUGUGUGUUUAGUAACUUUCCUGCACCGUCGUGCUGCAGAGGAGGACUGACAGACCGCACGCAGAAUCAUGUCAAUCCUGUCUAAGAGCAGCACUAGCUAGCAGCCGCUGCUAACCAGCUAACGAGACGUGACAGCUCACAAUAAGCCAAAGACAGUGCUGAACUAACUCACAAACGAAAGAACUAGCGUUGCUGACAACGCAAUCCAAUCGGCAGCCUCCGGUCGUGAAAUACAGUCGAUCUUUAGACGUGACAAACUAAGGCGGAAUUUUGUUUCCUGAGAGCCCGCUCGCGUUGCUAUGGCACCCAGUACUCGCCAGAUGCGUCUAGCCGUGUAAACCCUCCCAAUCCGAGCAGAGUUACCUGAUCUAAUGUUACUUUCUCUGAAUAACCGGUAGCGAUUUUGCACGGCAACAUCUCCGGGAUCUUUUACCUGAAACCCCAAACAACUUCCGGGCCCAUGCUGGGAUACAGGCCCGAGUAACCUAUAACCGAAAACCGCCUCGCAAAUCCACGAUUGCGAGAGAUUAUCGAAUGCAUCGAUCCUCAUGCUACAGGUCAUUGUCCUUUCUUGGCUGGACUACUGCAGUGCUCUUCUGACUGGAUUUCCAUCAUUCCUCUGCAAAUGAUUCAGAAUGCAGCAGCAUGUCUGAUCUUCAACAAGCCCAGAAGGGCCCACGUCACACCUCUCUUUAUCUCCUUGUACUGGCUACCAUUGCAGCUCGCAUAAAGUUCAAGUCAUUGAUGCUUGCAAAUAGAACAGCCACAGGCUCAGCAACCUCCUACAUCAACGCACUCUUACUAAUCUACAUCCAUUCCAGAAGCCUGAGAUCUACAAUAAUCUUUUAAUUUUGUCAUUAAUAUAUACAUUUUGUUAAUUUUUUUUUCAUUUUUUCCCUACAAUAAAUUGCUAAUAAUAAUAAUAGACCGUGAAGACCCCUUGGGGUCGCCAACUCCCUGUGGAAGAGUAGCAAAACAAUUAUUUUAAUGUUACCACAAGAUGGCAGAGAAUCCUAAGUUGUCCUCCUCCAGGGAGAACUUCUCUAAAUAAAAAUGAGAAACCUUUUUUUU